rnacentral:snRNA from 1 species
AAAAGAUUCUAGAAAUUUUCUAGA